AAGGGUCCGUAGGCGGUUUAAUAAGUCAGUGGUGAAAGCCCAUCGCUCAACGGUGGAACGGCCAUUGAUACUGUUAAACUUGAAUUAUUAGGAAGUAACUAGAAUAUGUAGUGUAGCGGUGAAAUGCUUAGAGAUUACAUGGAAUACCAAUUGCGAAGGCAGGUUACUACUAAUGGAUUGACGCUGAUGGACGAAAGCGUGGGUAGCGAACAGGAUUAGAUACCCGGGGU
rnacentral:rRNA from 1 species